rnacentral:lncRNA from 1 species
GGAAUCUGUUAGUCACAUUUAGUGCUACUUUAGAAAUCUCUGCUUAGUUGGAUUACUUUAUUACCAUUUAUUUUUUAUCUACAUAAAAUAAAAACAGAUAUUCCUAUUUAGCUUUUCUAAAAAUCUGUGCUAUUAAUUGACAUAACAGAAAAUUAAAUGACUUUACGGGACAUGUAAAAUAUUGCCCCUUUAUAUAUCAUUGACCCAGUGCAGAAUUGUUUCCCUUGAGCUAAAAAAUAAAUCAUAAAAACUGUACUCAUUUGUAUUCUAAAAUUUUGGUAAUUUUGGAGUCUAGUCAUUUGUGUUUGGUGAUCUGAUAAUAUAAAAAUUUUGUAAAAUAAUAAUAAGAGCACUGGCUAGUUUUAUUAUUACAUUGAAUUCCAUUUCAGCAGAAGAAACCUGUCAUUCUGUAAAAUAUUAACAUGUUAUUUAGAAAAGGUUAUUUUGUCUGAUUCAGAUUGGAAAUAACUGAUAUAAAACAUAUCAAUAAUAUUAAUAUUAAUAUUAAAAUGGAGUCUAAUCUAUGCCAUUUAGUCUCUAGUGGAGAGUUGUCACAUUGCUAAUCGUACCACACCUUCCUAUUUUUAUGUAUUGUAUGAGUUAUCUCCACGAUCAUAUUGGUUAAUGUCACAAACAUAGGAUAUUCUACAGGUUUUUACUCUUUGCUGAAUGUUGAAUGACUGCAAACAAGGCAUAAGUUUAAAUAUGAAAGAAAGUUGGGUAUACAUCUGUGAGACAAAACCCAACAACACCAUAUAUCAAUAACAACAAAAAGAAGACUUAUAGGUCAACAUACUGGUUUCACUAAUAAUAAGAGUCUAUAUCACUUUUUGGUCCUUAACAUGCAUGAAAUAUAUGGCACUGGACAUAAAGAAAACAUGAACAAAAUAAAAUUAAAUAACAGUAAAAUGUAUAUUCUCAAUUCAAUGAAAGUUUUAAAGUGCUUAUUAGAUAUUAUGCAUUAUUGAAAUUUUCUUAUGAUUAAUUUUCUUUUUAGUUUUUUUUUUUGUGGGGGGGGGGGGGGGGGAUUUCUUAGAGUUUUGCCAUUUAAGAUUUUUCAAAAACUCAAAAAGACCAAUUUCUAUUUUCCAAAGGAUUCAUUUUAUAUGAAAUGAUAAUUUUCCACUUAGUACCAAAUUGUAAAAGAGUUUUCUGCUUAUCCCAAAAACCCCAAAAAGGAGAAGAGAAUUUAGAUUAAAAUAAUGAAUCAUACUAAGUCUAGCUUACUCUAAGUUAAAGUUACAUGUGAUUUAAGAGCAUAAUAGAUAUUUACAAAGAAGAUGUUAAUUUUGAUGAUAAUGACCAAAUGCAUGUUCUUUUAAUAUAUAUCUCUCUAUCUUCUUAUCUUAGCUAAUCUUUUUAUAUAUUUGUAUAUUUAGUACUUUAUGUAUAUAGUACAUCUGCAUAUAUUCUGUUAUAUAUCUGUAUAUCAGCACCUGUUAUAUGUGUCAAAUAUCAUAGCUCUAUAUAGAAGGGUCUGGAUGGGGUUUACAGAAUUGGAAAUAACGGGCCAAAUUUACAGAAAAUGGACCAUAAGAUAAAGAAAAGAGAAAAACAGGGCAAAAGAUAAGAAAACAGAAUAAUGGGUGGCUAAGAUAUAAAGAAUACAGAAUUAUCAUUAAAUGGGCUAAAACAUGUGAUGAAUAUAGAAUGAAUACAUAAAAAUUAAAGGUUACAGAAUUUAAGGAUUUACCAUCCAGACCCAAAUAUAGUGUAGCUGCUUAGCUUAUUAUAUUAUAUAUAUUGUUUUUCUAGAUUCGUUUCACCAUUUGAAAAAUGCUAGUAUGGCUUCACACUGCUUUAUAUCUGUAUUUUUACCUGUUUAUGUAUUCUGGAUCACCAAUUCAUAUUUGUUAUAAUUGUUUGCUGAUAUCAUAAGACAAGACAUAGACACUUUUUUCUGACAUAAUGUUAUGUAGUUUCUUAAAUAAUAAAUUUUUAAUUCAUAAACUAUAA